UGGCCCAUGGUGUAAUGGUAACACUUCGGUUUUUGGUACCGUCAUUCAAGGUUCGAAUCCUUGUGGGCCAACUA
rnacentral:tRNA from 2 species